rnacentral:rRNA from 1 species
UAAGACGAACCGUGCAAACGUUGUUCGGAAUCACUGGGCUUAAAGGGCGCGUAGGCGGCUCGCCAAGUCGGGGGUGAAAUCUUUCGGCUUAACCGGAAAAGUGCCUUCGAUACUGGCGGGCUUGAGCGAGGUAGGGGCAUGUGGAACUUCCGGUGGAGCGGUGAAAUGCGUUGAUAUCGGAAGGAACGCCGGUGGCGAAAGCGACGUGCUGGACCUCUUCUGACGCUGAGGCGCGAAAGCUAGGGUAGCGAACGGGAUUAGAUACCCCGGUAGUCCUAGCCCUAAACGAUGGGUACUAGGUUGUGGACUUAACAUGGGUUCACAGCCGAAGCAAAAGUGUUAAGUACCCCGCCUGGGGAGUAUGGUCGCAAGGCUG